UCCGGUUGAUCCUGCCGGACCCCACUGCUAUCGGGGUGGGACUAAGACAUGCUAGUCGUGCGCCUCCAAGCCACGGUGGAGGCGCGGCGCACAGCUCAGUAACACGUGGCUAACCUACCCUUGGGACAGGGACAACCCCGGGAAACUGGGGCUAAUCCCCGAUAGGUGAGGACUCCUGGAAUGGGUCCUCGCUGAAAGGGCGUCUAGACCAUGCUUCUAGACGCUGCCCAAGGAUGGGGCCGCGGCCGAUCAGGUUGUUGGUGAGGUAACGGCUCACCAAGCCUAAGACCGGUACGGGCCGUGAGAGCGGGAGCCCGGAGAUGGACACUGAGACAAGGGUCCAGGCCCUACGGGGCGCAGCAGUCGCGAAACCUCCGCAAUACGCGAAAGCGUGACGGGGCCACCCCGAGUGCCGUCCGCUGAGGACGGCUUUUCCCCAGUGUAGACAGCUGGGGGAAUAAGGGGAGGGCAAGUCGGGUGUCAGCCGCCGCGGUAAUACCCGCUCCCCGAGUGGUGGGGACGCUUAUUGGGCCUAAAGCAUCCGUAGCCGGCUGGACAAGUCCCCUGUUAAAUCCAGCGAUUUAAUCGCUGGACUGCGGGGGAUACUGUCCAGCUAGGGGGCGGGAGAGGCCGGCGGUAUUCCCGGGGUAGGGGUGAAAUCUUAUAAUCCCGGGAGGACCACCAGUGGCGAAGGCUGCCGGCUGGAACGCGCCCGACGGUGAGGGAUGAAAGCUGGGGGAGCGAACCGGAUUAGAUACCCGGGUAGUCCCAGCUGUAAACGAUGCGGGCUAGGUGUUGGCACAGCUACAAGCCGUGUCAGUGCCGCAGGGAAGCCGUUAAGCCCGCCGCCUGGGGAGUACGGCCGCAAGGCUGAAACUUAAAGGAAUUGGCGGGGGAGCACCACAAGGGGUGAAGCUUGCGGUUUAAUUGGAGUCAACGCCGGA
rnacentral:rRNA from 1 species